rnacentral:rRNA from 1 species
GGGGAGAUCGCGGUCUAGGUCCAUUGGAACGUGGCGUCAUAGAGGGUGAGAACCCCGUAUGUGACCGUAGCUCGACCCCAUGUGAAGUCUCUUCAACGAGUCGAGUUGUUUGGGAAUGCAGCUCAAAAUGGGUGGUAAAUUUCAUCUAAAGCUAAAUAUUGGCUGGAGACCGAUAGCGCACAAGUAGAGUGAUCGAAAGAUGAAAAGCACUUUGGAAAGAGAGUCAAAAAGUACGUGAAAUUGUUGAAAGGGAAGCGCUUGCAACCAGACCUGCCCGUAGGUGAUCAGCCGCCGUUCUCGGUGGUGCACUCGCUCUGCGAUCAGGCCAGCAUCGGUUCGGGCGGUCGGAUAAAGGCCGAGGGAAUGUGGCUUUCUUCGGGGAGUGUUAAAGCCCUCGGUGCAAUGCGAUCAGCCCGGAUCGAGGACCGCGCUUCGGCUAGGAUGCUGGCGUAAUGGUUGUAAGCGACCCGUCUUGAAACACGGACCAAGGAGUCUAACAUCUAUGCGAGUGUUUGGGUGUCAAACCCAUGCGCGGAAUGAAAGUGAACGGAGGUGAGAACCCUCGAAGGGCGCAUCAUCGACCGAUCCAGAUGUCUUCGGAUGGAUUUGAGUAUGAGCAUAGCUGUUGGGACCCGAAAGAUGGUGAACUAUGCCUGAAUAGGGUGAAGCCAGAGGAAACUCUGGUGGAGGCUCGCAGCGGUUCUGACGUGCAAAUCGAUCGUCAAAUUUGGGUAUAGGGGCGAAAGACUAAUCGA